rnacentral:rRNA from 1 species
CCUACGGGUGGCAGCAGUCGAGAAUCAUUCACAAUGGGGGAAACCCUGAUGGUGCGACGCCGCGUGGGGGAAUGAAGGUCUUCGGAUUGUAAACCCCUGUCAUGUGGGAGCAAAUUAAAAAGAUAGUACCACAAGAGGAAGAGACGGCUAACUCUGUGCCAGCAGCCGCGGUAAUACAGAGGUCUCAAGCGUUGUUCGGAAUCACUGGGCGUAAAGCGUGCGUAGGCUGUUUCGUAAGUCGUGUGUGAAAGGCGCGGGCUCAACCCGCGGACGGCACAUGAUACUGCGAGACUAGAGUAAGGGAGGGGGAACCGGAAUUCUCGGUGGAGCAGUGAAAUGCGUAGAUAUCGAGAGGAACACUCGUGGCGAAGGCGGGUUCCUGGACAUUAACUGACGCUGAGGCACGAAGGCCAGGGGAGCGAAAGGGAUUAGAUACCCCAGUAGUC